rnacentral:tRNA from 1 species
GGGCUCAUAGCUCAGUUGGUUAGAGCACCUGACUCAUAAUCAGGGGGUCGGAGGAUCAUGCCCUUCUGGGCCCA